UAUGCAAAAUUUCAUUUAUUUGUACUGUCAAAAAUUGGUAUGAUUAAUAAAAUAAUCUUAUAGUUACAUGUAAUAUGCCACGUAUACCUCAUGCCGACAUACAAGACUAAUUUUUAAUAGUAAAAAUGGAUGAAUUUUUAAUA
rfam:Gossypium arboreum cultivar AKA8401 contig_5085_3, whole genome shotgun sequence.